rnacentral:tmRNA from 1 species
GGGGGCGUUACGGAUUCGACGACGGUAACAAAACCUGCGGUGCAUGCCGUGAUGGUAGCCAAUCACGUAAAUCCAAAGCUGCAAACUAUUAGUUGCCAAUGAUGACAACUACGAGGUAGCGCUGGCUGCGUAAGCAGUCAUCAAUACUUCAUCUAGUGGCUUCGGCCCUAGCGGUCUUUAGCAAGGUUCCAGCCCCGCGUUACUGACUGUCAUAUAGAACUGGAUCGCAGCGAAGCAGGCUCCGGGCCUAGCUGCUAAAAAAUUACGGAGAUCGCCAAUCACGUCCUGCCCGUUGGGCUGUGUGCGGCUAGAUUAAUCAACGGGAUCUAAGCAUGUAGAGCCAAUGGCAGAGUGCUGGCGGACGCGGGUUCAACUCCCGCCGCCUCCACCA